GCAGCAGCCGCGGUAAUACAGAGGGUGCGAGCGUUAAUCGGAUUUACUGGGCGUAAAGCGUGCGUAGGCGGCUUUUUAAGUCGGAUGUGAAAUCCCUGAGCUUAACUUAGGAAUUGCAUUCGAUACUGGGAAGCUAGAGUAUGGGAGAGGAUGGUAGAAUUCCAGGUGUAGCGGUGAAAUGCGUAGAGAUCUGGAGGAAUACCGAUGGCGAAGGCAGCCAUCUGGCCUAAUACUGACGCUGAGGUACGAAAGCAUGGGGAGCAAACAGGAUUAGAUACCCGAGUAGUCCCUGUCUCUUAUAA
rnacentral:rRNA from 1 species